rnacentral:rRNA from 1 species
GACGAACGCUGGCGGCGUGCUUAACACAUGCAAGUCGAACGGAAAGGCCCUGCUUGUGUGGGGUGCUCGAGUGGCGAACGGGUGAGUAACACGUGAGUAACCUGCCCUUGACUUUGGGAUAACUUCAGGAAACUGGGGCUAAUACCGGAUAGGAGCUCCUGCUGCAUGGUGGGGGUUGGAAAGUUUCGGCGGUUGGGGAUGGACUCGCGGCUUAUCAGCUUGUUGGUGGGGUAGUGGCUUACCAAGGCUUUGACGGGUAGCCGGCCUGAGAGGGUGACCGGCCACAUUGGGACUGAGAUACGGCCCAGAAUCCUACGGGAGGCCGCAGUGGGGAAUAUUGCACAAUGGGCGGAAGCCUGAUGCAGCAACGCCGCGUGCGGGAUGACGGCCUUCGGGUUGUAAACCGCUUUCGCCUGUGACGAAGCGUGAGUGACGGUAAUGGGUAAAGAAGCACCGGCUAACUACGUG